rnacentral:rRNA from 1 species
UACGAAGGGAGCUAGCGUUGUUCGGAAUCACUGGGCGUAAAGCGCACGUAGGCGGAUUUGUCAGUCAGGGGUGAAAUCCCGGGGCUCAACCUCGGAACUGCCUUUGAUACAGCAAGUCUUGAGUUCGAGAGAGGUGGGUGGAAUUCCUAGUGUAGAGGUGAAAUUCGUAGAUAUUAGGUAGAACACCGGUGGCGAAGGCGGCCCACUGGCUCGAUACUGACGCUGAGGAGCGAAAGCGUGGGGAGCAAACAGG